UUUAUGGAGAGUUUGAUCCUGGCUCAGGAUGAACGCUGGCGGCGUGCCUAAUACAUGCAAGUCGAGCGAACGGACGAGAAGCUUGCUUCUCUGAUGUUAGCGGCGGACGGGUGAGUAACACGUGGAUAACCUACCUAUAAGACUGGGAUAACUUCGGGAAACCGGAGCUAAUACCGGAUAAUAUUUUGAACCGCAUGGUUCAAAAGUGAAAGACGGUCUUGCUGUCACUUAUAGAUGGAUCCGCGCUGCAUUAGCUAGUUGGUAAGGUGACGGCUUACCAAGGCAACGAUGCAUAGCCGACCUGAGAGGGUGAUCGGCCACACUGGAACUGAGACACGGUCCAGACUCCUACGGGAGGCAGCAGUAGGGAAUCUUCCGCAAUGGGCGAAAGCCUGACGGAGCAACGCCGCGUGAGUGAUGAAGGUCUUCGGAUCGUAAAACUCUGUUAUUAGGGAAGAACAUAU
rnacentral:rRNA from 1 species